rnacentral:tRNA from 1 species
GGGGCGGUAGCUCAGCUGGUUAGAGCAACGGACUCAUAAUCCGUCGGCCGUGGGUUCGAGCCCCACCCGCCCCA